GGAGAGGUGUCCGAGCGGUUUAAGGAGCUGGUCUUGAAAACCAGUGAUUCUGAAAGGGACCGUGGGUUCGAAUCCCACCCUCUCCGCCA
rnacentral:tRNA from 1 species